rnacentral:rRNA from 1 species
UACGAAGGGUGCAAGCGUUAAUCGGAAUUACUGGGCGUAAAGCGCACGUAGGCGGUUAGUUAAGUUGGAUGUGAAAGCCCCGGGCUCAACCUGGGAAUUGCAUUCAAAACUGGCUAACUAGAGUAUGUGAGAGGGGGGUAGAAUUCCAAGUGUAGCGGUGAAAUGCGUAGAGAUUUGGAGGAAUACCAGUGGCGAAGGCGGCCCCCUGGCACACUACUGACGCUGAGGUGCGAAAGCGUGGGGAGCAAACAGG